ensembl:snRNA U6 U6 spliceosomal RNA
UUGCUUGCUUCAGCAACACAUAUAUUAUAAUUGGAACAAUACAGAGAAGAUUAUCAUGACCCCUGAGCAAAGAUGACAUGGAAAUUUGUGAAGUAUUUCGUAUUUUU